GUCCAACAUAAAGGGGAUGCUUCCAGUAAAAGCCUUCUUGCCAGUGGGGACUCCACAGAGUCAUGAGAAUCUGAAAGAAACAAGAUCUAAAGGACUUAAAUGGGUUGCUCUCAAAGCCACAAGACAGACAUUUAUAAGAUGUAGGCCAAGAGGUAUCAAAAAUGACCUGGUCAACGUAACAGCAUGGCUUUUGAUUAAUCUACACCAACGAUUCUGAAUUUGUGCCAUCUACUUUAAAAAGAAAUUUAACUUGCGAAGCAUGAUUUCCUAUUUUUUUAUCCAGAGAGAAUUGGUGGAGAGAAAAUUAAGUUUGCUCAUCUAAGUAAGUACCUCAGGGAACUAUUCACCUAUUAAUGUAUGGGAGAGUUUCAGCUUGUAACUUACCCAAUUUCAUUAGCAUUAAUGGGAAUUUUGUGUGAAAUCCUGUGUGAAUCGUUGGUUUAGGAGAUGUGUAAGUUUGUUGAUUACUUUUAUUUUGUAAGGCUUUAUUCUCCAGCUCAAAUUUUUAACACUUUACACUUGUAAUAGAAGCUAAAUGUUGGAAGGAGUCAAAUUUGGACUUUUGAAGGCAAUUAAAUCAGAACAGAAUCACAUAUAAUUAUUCACCUCUGUGAAUGCUGACACAUGUUACAUGUUCCCUACCUGGAUGUUUUACUUUUACUGGCUUACUGCCUUUGAUAUAUGAAGACUCAAGCUUGAAUUUUAAGUUUUCAACAAUUAUGUUCUGCUAGUAUGUACAAUUUUCUUAUUUAAUCCACCCCCCCCUUUCUUUAACCCCUCUGAUUACUGAGCUAUGAGUUUUGUACUCACUUAGAUGUCCAAUCCUGGGAAAUUUUGAAAAUGGAAGGCAGAAUUAGCAGGAGGUAGGAGGCAGGGUGGGGAAGACUAUGGAUGCACAUGCACAGAUGUAAGUGCCAGCACCUGCUGGACCUUAGCUUCCAUCUCUCUCCCAUCAGGAGAAAAAGCACACACAUGAAUAAACCUCAGAGAGAUGAUCUCCCUCUCUGGCCU
rnacentral:lncRNA from 13 species